rnacentral:miRNA from 11 species
CCUGGAAGUACUGAGGUUGAGU